rnacentral:rRNA from 1 species
UUANNNACUCUUGACNUCNACNGAACUUAGCAGAGAUGCUUCGGUGCCUUCGGGAACUGUGAGACAGGUGCUGCAUGGCUGUCGUCAGCUCGUGUUGUGAAAUGUUGGGUUAAGUCCCGCAACGAGCGCAACCCUUAUCCUUUGUUGCCAGCACGUAAUGGUGGGAACUCAAGGGAGACUGCCGGUGACAAACCGGAGGAAGGUGGGGAUGACGUCAAGUCAUCAUGGCCCUUACGAGUAGGGCUACACACGUGCUACAAUGGCAGAUACAAAGUGAAGCGAACUCGCGAGAGCAAGCGGACCACAUAAAGUCUGUCGUAGUCCGGAUUGGAGUCUGCAACUCGACUCCAUGAAGUCGGAAUCGCUAGUAAUCGUAGAUCAGAAUGCUACGGUGAAUANGUUCCCGGG